rnacentral:rRNA from 1 species
GCGCCCGCCAGCAUUCUGGCGGGCAUGCCUGUCCGAGCGUCAUUUCCUCCCUCACGCAGCGCGCCUGCGUGGUGUUGGGGCGUUCUGCGGUCAGGCCUGCGCCUAGCGUAGGCCGCCGCAGCCCCCGAAAGCCAGUGGCGGGCCGGCAGCGGGCUCCGAGCGCAGUAAGCAUCACGCCCUCGCUCUGGACGCCCCCGCCUGCGCCCUGCCCCCCAUACCGGCAGACGCGAGUCUGCCCCCUUCUCAAGGUUGACCUCGGAUCAGGUAGGACUACCCGCUGAACUUAAGCAUAUCAAUAAGCGGAGGAAAAGAAACCAACAGGGAUUGCCCCAGUAACGGCGAGUGAAGCGGCAACAGCUCAGAUUUGGAAUCUGGCCCCCAGGGCCCGAGUUGUAAUCUGGAGAGGAUGCUUCUGGCGCGGCGCCUUCCGAGUUCCCUGGAACGGGACGCCGGAGAGGGUGAGAGCCCCGUACGGUUGGACGCCUAGCCUUUGUGAAGCUCCUUCGACGAGUCGAGUAGUUUGGGAAUGCUGCUCAAAAUGGGAGGUAAAUUUCUUCUAAAGCUAAAUACCGGCCAGAGACCGAUAGCGCACAAGUAGAGUGAUCGAAAGAUGAAAAGCACUUUGAAAAGAGGGUCAAACAGUACGUGAAAUUGUUGAAAGGGAAGCGCCCGUGGCCAGACUUGUGCCCCGCGGACCACCCGGCGCCCUCAGCGCCGGUGCACUCCGCGGGGCGCAGGCCAGCAUCGGUUUUCCUAGGGGGAUAAAGGCGGCGGGAACGUGGCUCCCUCGGGAGUGUUAUAGCCCGCCGCGCCAUGCCCCUGGGGGGACCGAGGACCGCGCUUCGGCAAGGAUGCUGGCGUAAUGGCCACCGGCGACCC